AAGAGCUUCAUCAUGCUGCCACCCAUUAUGUCUUGACAAAUUGUGAUGAGUGUUUGCCUUUUAUUGAAGAACAUAAGGACAUUCUUCGUAUACAACAUGGUGAUGAUCGGGUGGAUGAGUUGCACAAAAAAAAUUUUGUGGAAUAGUUUUCUAAGAAGAUCCAACAAUUGUAUGUAGAUGGAAAAGUGAGAGCUCAAAUGCGUUCUUUGGCCCAAAGUCCU